CUUAGUUUCGCUAAAUUCCGCUAGGGACAAAACAACUGUCAAUGUACGUACAAUACAGGCUAUGUGCAGUGUAAUGUUUUUAAUUUACAAAUUUUAAGUGAUGCAAUACUCAAGUGAAUAAUAUUGUUUAUUAAUUUUAUUUUGUGUUUUAUUUUCUUUCGAUAAUGAUCACCAAUUCAGGAUGAAAAUAGUUAAUUUUGUUGACUUGCAGUGGGCUUGUGUUAUGUCUUAACCUAACAAUGACAAUAUUCUACAUUAAAUUUAAAAUACCCAUGAAUUCUAAACAUUCUCUUUAUCCAGUUAUUAUAACAAACAAUAUUUUACAGCAGUAUGCUACUCUACAUUUUAAAUUCCAACCCAAGACUAUUACAUACCAAAGAAGAAGUCCCCGUAACACCAUGAGAUAAAUAGAUAUAUAUUUCAUUUUCUUGAGGCCAACGCAAUAAAAAUUUGUGUCAACUAAUUUCUCCUUCGUAAGGAUUCCAAGUGAAAUAUUAUGCGAAUAAAGUGCAGAUGCAAUGACAAGACAUAAUCAAAGCUACAACAUGUUUGAAAAGAAAAGACAACAAUCUUGUGUUCAAUCAAUUUACUGGAAGAGAGAGCGUAUGAUUUUCCACUACGAUGUGAAGAAUCCAACAAUACCAUGCAGUAAUAUUCUAUCAAAAUAAUUAAGGAAGGAAUGCAUCUUAGUUAUUACAAAUUUAAAA
rnacentral:lncRNA from 1 species